AAAACUCAAAUUUGUAUGGAGUUGAACUUGUGCCUACGUUUGCCGCUAGGGGCGCUGUUUCAACUGCAUGCAUAUUUGAGUUA
rnacentral:pre_miRNA from 1 species